AUGCUCUUUGGAGUCAAGUUACCUCAUAUACUGGUGGUCAGUAAACCAACUACUAAGAAGGAUUGGCUACAUAAAGCAAUGACCUUGUGGGUAUGUCAAGGUGUAGGUGCAGACUCAUUGUUGAUGUUGAAUACUGGAGUAAGAAUGAUGAUCAGUGCUCUGACCGUGCUGCUGGAGAUAAUGAUGCGAGCUCGACCAGUUCAUGAUUUUAUUUCUGUACGCCUACAAGGUGUUCGACGAAAAUCCCAGAAGGCUGGCAGGGGAAGAAUGAUCUAUUCUGUACAAUCUCGAAGACUGCUGCUUCUUUGGUCUGUUCACCAAGUCAUGCAUACCCACUUAAGAAUGAACAAGGCUAAGCUGCAUGUAUAUCUCCUUACAAGAAGAUCCUUGGGGUGUCAGACAUGUUUUAUUCCACUGCUACCAAGAAGAUAA
rnacentral:rRNA from 1 species